rfam:Geobacter uraniireducens Rf4, complete genome.
UCCCGACAAAGCCAACCCCUUCGUGAGGGGGGGAACGGAAAGCCACGGGCCUCCGGAAUGGAGACAGCCGAGCCGCCAAA